CUCAUAUCUUAGAAAAAACCAACCAUCAUAAUCAUCCCUAAAACCUCAUCUUCGUAACCAUAACCACAAAAUUCAACCAAAAAACUUCAUCUCCAUGACCACAACCAACUUCGUCUCAGACGAUGAUAACCACUAAAACCAUUCUUGAACCCUUCAUUGAAGAUUCCACUUCAUAUAUACCGACUACUCCGCGUGCAAAAUCUCAACCAUCUCAAACCUUUUAUUCAUCCAUCAUCAAGGAAUCUCAAAAUUUUCUAAAGAUGAUCAUCAAGGCGAUAUCUCUCGUAUCUCUGAUAUUCAAGAAGAGUUGUAUUUCAUCAGACAAGGCGUUAGCAACAUCACACAAUACUUUAGCACCCUCAAGAAGCUUUGGCAGGAGUAUGACAAUUUCAGACCUCUUCGUCAUUGUACAUGUAACAUAACUUGCAAUUGUCAAACCUUUCCAACCAUCAAAGCCUACAUAGAAAAUGACUACGUCAUCUGGUUUAUUAAGGGGUUGAAUGAGCAAUAUGCUCAUGUCAAAUCCCAUAUCAUGCUCAUGCACCCCCUCCAUUCAAUCAACAAACUUUUCUUCUUACAAAAAGAAAGACAAGAAAAUAAUCAUCUUGAUGAUGGCAAAAUCUUUGCUCACACAAACAAAUCCUAGUUUCGUGGUCAAUCAACUUAACAAGGUCCAAGAAAUUUUAAAGCGGGAAGAAGACGGGGGAGAAAUAUUUGUUCCAUAUUGGAAAAAGCUCAUUGUAGCCCAAGUUUCUCAAGAAUAUACAUAUCAUGUUGAGUCCCACCACAAUAAUAUUGAAGACCAUUCUCAACACGACGAUCACAUUAACUUCACCCCAUAUCAGCAAAAAAUGUCUCUUUAAUCUCCUAUAACAAACUUAGCAAACAUCCCUCUAAUAUGCAUCACUUUCUUUCAAGCUCUGACAUUAUACAAGAGGAACCAUACCCUUAUGACGAUUGGUGCCUCUAAGAUCUCUAAUGGCUUAUACAUGCUCACAUCCCCUGUUAAUCCCAUACACAUUCCUUCUACACAUAUAACCCUACUAUUUCCACCUGUGUAGUUAACAUUUGUAAUUUGUGGCAUAGUUGUUUAGCCCACAUAUCUCAUGAUACUAUUCUCGCUGUUAAUAUUUUUGUCCUUUAUGUAACACUUCAAAAACUAAUACUCCUUGUGAUACUUGUGAUACUUGAUUCACAUAUAUAUAUGAGGUCUCUUCCUAA